UUCAGAGACAUGUUUGUAUAUAUCUGAGACCUAUAAUAUAUUGAUGACAAACAGUAUAAUAGGGGACCUUUAAAUAGUGCAUCAACAGAUAUACGUUUAUUGACAGUAAACACAGCUAGAGAUAUCUGCAAUUAGGUCAAUGACUGGCAAUUGGCAACAUUUCAGCUGGCUGGGCAGCAUUACAGCCAAUUAUGUGGCGACAUCAAUCUUCACCUGCGUUAUACCCUAGACCUGCGAUCCACCUCUACAUCAUCACUGACAUAUAUACUGUAAAUCUGCCUUGCUCAGGGUUAUGAGAUCAGGCACAGUUAUUCACCCGUGUUAAGCACUUGGUAUAUUUGUACAAAAAAAAUAAAAAUAAUAAUAUACGUUUAUGGAUGUUUUUUAAACCCUGGAUUUCAACUUUUCCUCGUAAAACUUUAGUAAACGCUCAAUAAUAUUGAAUCUCAAUGAUAUUGCAAGCUAGUUAUAAGGUUGAAUACUAAAAUACUCAUCUCAAUGUAGUAAAAGCACAGAUGAAAAACUAUACAACUUGCUACCAAUGACCACAGAAAUGGGAAUGUCUAACAGGAAAAUGCUGAAAAAGAAAAAUCCGCUCUCAGCCCAAACAAUGCCUUGGUGGGACCCGACUCAAAUCCUAAGACUGAAGGAGAGAGGAAAAGAGGAAGGGAGUUGUUCUUAGAUAAAUAUCUGGUAAUGGGUUAUAAUGAUGCUUAAUGACAGACAAGAGCUUCCUACUGAACACAAGGAAAGAGAGGAACAAACAAACAGUGACAACAAUCUUGACAAUUGUGCCCACCAUCUUGUGAGGCCUCAGGUUGUGACGUAUAUGAUAAAGGUAACAGCUCUCUGGGCCCCCGCUCACAUUUCUCCACCCAUUGUCCAGAGAGAAAGUCAGCAGCAUUUUCAGGCUUUCACUGAAAUCACUUACAUUCAUGGACAAAAACAAAUCACGUCUAUGAAUUUAAAGGACCUUCACCUAAUUCAAUUUCCCCUGAGAUCUGAGUCCCUGAUUCAAAACUGAGGAGUGAGAAUAAAGAAGCUGCAUUCAAAAUCACUUUGGGACAUCUGAAAAAAGGAACUAAAACCAACCAUGACAACCAAGAUGAAAACGCUUGAUCCUUCAACUCUAUCCGAUGUCACCUCUACUGUCAGCUACGACCCUAAAUCUGAGACGGUGACCUUACCAGGAGGGGUUGUGUCAGUGGCGGGCAUCACCGUGGUGACCGGCGGCAUGGAGGUGUCUUGUGGAUCCUGCAUGCUGGCCUUUGGUUUUUGGGGAACUCUGAUCGGCUUCAGUUGUGUGGCGGUGGGGAUUUGGGACCAACUGAACCUCUCUAAGGGAGGAACGUCUCACUUACUGGGGCUGGGAUUUGUGAUUCUGGCCCUCAGUUUCGUGGCGGUGGGAGGUGUGGUGGUAUUUUAUCUCCUGACAAAAAAGAAGAGAGAGAACACAAGAGCGGAGAGAGAGGAUGGAAAAGAGGUUCUUGUAGAGAGUGGGAGGGUAAUUAAAAAAGUCACAGUUUAAUUAAGAAUUAUUGACAGGAUACAAGAGAAAUCCAUGAAAAAUCUGCACACAAAUCUGACUGUAAUUUAGUGGGUCCCAACCUUUGUUGUCAGACAUAACCCCCAAGGUCAGGUGAACUCACCCCUUCAUCUACAAUACCUUUGAUGUUCAAAUUGUGUUCAUUUGAACCAAUUUCAAACUGGAUUCUUUUUAAGUGUCAUAGCAAUGGUGGGAGCUGAAUGUUUAUCCAUUACUUUUAGCAAUUAUUUCAUUUAUACUACUCCUAGCUAACUAUAUGCUAGCUUUGUAACUACUUUUAGACAUUUUAAUAACGUGAUUAUGUUUUAAAGGUGACGUAUGUAUUUUGGUAAUCAAAUCAUAAUUUAUAUCUUUGUAUUUAAAAAUAGGUUGAGCUACUUCAGUAUGUUUCCCUUUACCCAUUGGAAACAGCAGUCACACUCAGCAGCACUACUCUAUAUAGUAGCAUAGCACUAAGUAUUAGCCAACUCCUUUCCACUACACUGUUUUUUAUUGACGUCUGUGUUUUCUUUUGUUGUCUAUGCUGCAAUUUACAUGUACUGUAUGUAGGCGGACCAUGUUGAGUAUGUAAUAAAUGGAGUACAUGUUAA